rnacentral:rRNA from 1 species
GUGUCAGCCGCCGCGGUAAUACGUAGGGUCCAAGCGUUGUCCGGAUUUAUUGGGCGUAAAGAGCUCGUAGGCGGUUUCGUAAGUCGGAUGUGAAAACUCAGGGCUCAACCCGGAGACGCCAUCUGAUACUGCGAUGACUUGAGUCUGGUAGGGGAACACGGAAUUCCUGGUGUAGCGGUGAAAUGCGCAGAUAUCAGGAGGAACACCGAUGGCGAAGGCAGUGUUCUGGGCCAGUACUGACGCUGAGGAGCGAAAGCGUGGGGAGCAAACAGGAUUAGAUACCCUGGUAGUCC